AGUGAACGCUGGCGGUAGGCCUAACACAUGCAAGUCGAACGGCAGCACAGUAAGAGCUUGCUCUUACGGGUGGCGAGUGGCGGACGGGUGAGGAAUACAUCGGAAUCUACUUUUUCGUGGGGGAUAACGUAGGGAAACUUACGCUAAUACCGCAUACUACCUACGGGUGAAAGCAGGGGAUCUUCGGACCUUGCGCGAUUGAAUGAGCCGAUGUCGGAUUAGCUAGUUGGCGGGGUAAAGGCCCACCAAGGCGACGAUCCGUAGCUGGUCUGAGAGGAUGAUCAGCCACACUGGAACUGAGACACGGUCCAGACUCCUACGGGAGGCAGCAGUAGGGAAUAUUGGACAAUGGGCGCAAGCCUGAUCCAGCCAUACCGCGUGGGUGAAGAAGGCCUUCGGGUUGUAAAGCCCUUUUGUUGGGAAAGAAAAGCAGCAGGUUAAUACCCCGCUGUUCUGACGGUACCCAAAGAAUAAGCACCGGCUAACUUCGUG
rnacentral:rRNA from 1 species